GCGCAGGGUCCUGCGGAGCGACGCCGGGGCAGGGGCCGAGCCUGGCCACGGGGCCGGGCCCUGCAGGAGGCCAGGAGCAGCGCUGGCACCAAAGCGCUUUUUUUUUGGCCGUGCAGCUUGCCUGGCCGGUUCCCGUGCCGCCGCCACCACCACCUGGGGCCGGGCGAUCUGUCACGGCUGCAGGUGGCCUUUCUGUUUUUAGCCUGUGCUUCGAGGCUGCUCCUGCGAGGCUGCAGGACUCCUGACGCUUUUUGCUUCUUUGCCCCACCUUUGCUGGAGGUUACGUUAUCCGGAGCUGGCUUGUUCUCUCUGGGCACCACAAGGCGGGCGGCAGCUGGUGGUAGGGCAGGAACCAGAGAGAACUGUAACCCCCAUGUAAACCAGCAGCUCUUCGCUGCUGGCGAACGGUUACAUGUGGGAUUUACAGGCCAGGGGAGGAGGUGGAGGGAGAAGCAGGCCGUUAUUCACGGCAGAGCUGCUGGCACGGAUGCGCCGGGAUCGCACCCCUCCAGCAGCUGCAGGGCCAGCGAGGAGCAGCCGCCCUGGCCCGGCCUCAGGGACCACAGCGCGGUCGGGGCGCCAGGCUCGGCAGGGACGCUCCUGCCCGGCCUCCAGUGCAGGGAGACGGGGCCGGCGCUCACCCACAGGAAGCACGCGCAGGUUGGCCCUGGCAAGGCGUCCCGAGGUCACUGUGUGCCGGCAUGGCUAUGUUGGCCCCCAGGACCCCAUAACCGCGUCGGGGAGCUGCUCCAAGUCCCGACCCGUGACUCAAGCCAGCCGAGGAGCUGGGGCUCAGCCAGAGCCGAGGGGAGCAGAAGGGCCGUGUGGUGCUGCCACCAGUCAGUGAGAGCCCAGCGGCACCAUGUGCUGUGCUGGCAGCCAGUUUCCCUGGCUUUUGGGGGUUGUUUUGUUUUGUUUUCCAGCAGAUGUUUGCUCUUUUCCUCUGUAAGCACCAGAAGUCUCCCUUUUGCUCAGAAACAGUUACGUUCUCCAAGCUUAUCAGUCAGGACUUGUCUCUUCUAAUGCCCCAGCCAAUUUUCUCCAUCUGACAGGGAAGCUGCUUCUGUGGAGCUGCUGUUCACCUUCCUGCUAGCUUCCUCACAACAGGAUUAUUAAACUAAACAGCCAUGUCCAUGAGCAAACACCGCUAACCCUGCAGGGCCCUCCAGGCACGAGCCCAGGUCCCUGCGCCCAGCUGCCACGGCGCAGCGCAGAGCUGCCCCUGUCCUCCGCAGCAGCUCCUCGGGUGGUGGAGACGCUGCCUUAGUGCCCUUGCCCUCCACAGGACCCAGGCACGCAGGAGAAGUUCUUCAGUGUCUGGAAAUAUUCCAGGCAUUCAGAUGAAAAAAAUUCCUAAGAGAUUAAUUAAGAGUUUGGAUGGAUCACAUGAUAUGCAUGAAAUGCAUGAUAACGUCUAAUUAAAGGAAACUUGGCAAAGAAACCCACUGGGCCUGGAGGGAGAGCAGAGGAGAGGGCAAGACGUCCAGCACAGAAAACGCUUGUGCCACCUCUCAAGAAAAGAC
rnacentral:lncRNA from 1 species